CAGAAGAGCAAGAGUAGUAAAAGCAAAGAAAUGUGCCUUGGCUUGAAAAAAAGAAAGGAAGGAAAGAAAGGCCCAUCGAAUUACCUCAUUUUCUUUAUUUAAAGAUGCUUACUACCCCGAUUAGCUGUGAGCUUAGCUGUGGUUCCCUGAGGACUGUCUUCCACAAGCAAAAUGAAGAGAAGCAUCAUCCAGACUGAUGAGUGCUAUGCCAACCAGUCCAUCCUAAAGGAGAUCAGUCCUGGGUGUUCACUGAAAGGACUGAUGCUGAAGCUGAAACUCUAAUACUUUGCCACCUCAUGCAAAGAGUUGACUCAUUGGAAAAGACCCUGAUGCUGGGAGGGAUUGGGGGCAGGAGGAGAAGGGGAUGACACAGGAUGAGAUGGCUGGAUAGCACCACCGACUUGAUGCACAUGAGUUUGAGUGAACUCCGGGAGUUGGUGAUGGACAGGGAGGCCUGGCGUGCUGCGAUUCACGGGGUCACAAAGAGCUGGACAUGACUGAGUGACUGAACUGGACUGAACACAUGGAUGAGGAAAAGCCAGCAGACUCCAGUGGUUCUGUUAAGAGAGUAAUGGAGGAAUCUUACUAGACAAAAAUUAGUAUUAUGGAUCAAUAGUAGUAGUAUAAGAAUUCAUGCUUUCAAGCUGUGGUGCUGGGGCAGACUCUUGAGAUUCCCUUGAACUGCAAGGAGAUCAAGUCAGUCAAUCCUAAAGGAAAUCAACCCUGAAUAUUCACUGGAAGGACUGAUGCUGAAGCUGAAGCUCCAAUACUUUGGCCACCUGAUGCAAAGAGCCAACUCAUUGGAAAAGACCCUGAUACUGGGAAAGAGUAAAGGCAGAAAGAGAAGGGGAAGACAGAGGAUGAGAUGGUUAGAUAGCAUCACCAACUCAAUGGACAUGAAUUUGAGCAAACUCCAGGUGAUAGUAGAGGACUGAGGAGCCUGGCUUGCUACAUUCCAUGAAGGUUGUAAAGAGUCAGAUCCGACUUAGUGGCUGAACAACAACAAUAAUCAGUAGCCUUAAAAAAAAACCAAAAACAGAUUUAUUGAAGUGUAACUAACAUAAAAUAAACUGCUCAUAUUUUAAAUAUACCAUUUGUGGCUCAGCUGCUAAAGAAUCUGCCUACAAUGCAGGGGAC
ensembl:lncRNA